UACAGAGGGGGCAAGCGUUAUUCGGAAUUAUUGGGCGUAAAGGGCGCGUAGGCGGCUUGGCAAGUGGAUGGUGAAAUCCCUCGGCUUAACCUGGGAACUGCAUUUGUGACUGCAUGGCUAGAGUUUGGCAGAGGGGGGUAGAAUUCCACGUGUAGCAGUGAAAUGCGUAGAGAUGUGGAGGAAUACCGAUGGCGAAGGCAGCCCCCUGGGAUAACACUGACGCUCAUGCACGAAAGCGUGGGGAGCAAACAGG
rnacentral:rRNA from 1 species